rnacentral:rRNA from 1 species
GCGAUACAGGGUGACAGCCCCGUACACAAAAAUGCACACAUUGUGAGCUCGAUGAGUAGGGCGGGACACGUGGUAUCCUGUCUGAAUAUGGGGGGACCAUCCUCCAAGGCUAAAUACUCCUGACUGACCGAUAGUGAACCAGUACCGUGAGGGAAAGGCGAAAAGAACCCCGGCGAGGGGAGUGAAAAAGAACCUGAAACCGUGUACGUACAAGCAGUGGGAGCCUCUUAAUGGGGUGACUGCGUACCUUUUGUAUAAUGGGUCAGCGACUUAUAUUCUGUAGCAAGGUUAACCGAAUAGGGGAGCCGAAGGGAAACCGAGUCUUAACUGGGCGUUAAGUUGCAGGGUAUAGACCCGAAACCCGGUGAUCUAGCCAUGGGCAGGUUGAAGGUUGGGUAACACUAACUGGAGGACCGAACCGACUAAUGUUGAAAAAUUAGCGGAUGACUUGUGGCUGGGGGUGAAAGGCCAAUCAAACCGGGAGAUAGCUGGUUCUCCCCGAAAGCUAUUUAGGUAGCGCCUCGUGAAUUCAUCUCCGGGGGUAGAGCACUGUUUCGGCAAGGGGGUCAUCCCGACUUACCAACCCGAUGCAAACUGCGAAUACCGGAGAAUGUUAUCACGGGAGACACACGGCGGGUGCUAACGUCCGUCGUGAAGAGGGAAACAACCCAGACCGCCAGCUAAGGUCCCAAAGUCAUGGUUAAGUGGGAAACGAUGUGGGAAGGCCCAGACAGCCAGGAUGUUGGCUUAGAAGCAGCCAUCAUUUAAAGAAAGCGUAAUAGCUCACUGGUCGAGUCGGCCUGCGCGGAAGAUGUAACGGGGCUAAACCAUGCACCGAAGCUGCGGCAGCGACACUAUGUGUUGUUGGGUAGGGGAGCGUUCUGUAAGCCUGUGAAGGUGGCCUGUGAGGGUUGCUGGAGGUAUCAGAAGUGCGAAUGCUGACAUAAGUAACGAUAAAGCGGGUGAAAAGCCCGCUCGCCGGAAGACCAAGGGUUCCUGUCCAACGUUAAUCGGGGCAGGGUGAGUCGACCCCUAAGGCGAGGCCGAAAGGCGUAGUCGAUGGGAAACAGGUUAAUAUUCCUGUACUUGGUGUUACUGCGAAGGGGGGACGGAGAAGGCUAUGUUGGCCGGGCGACGGUUGUCCCGGUUUAAGCGUGUAGGCUGGUUUUCCAGGCAAAUCCGGAAAACCAAGGCUGAGGCGUGAUGACGAGGCACUACGGUGCUGAAGCGACAAAUGCCCUGCUUCCAGGAAAAGCCUCUAAGCAUCAGGUAACAUCAAAUCGUACCCCAAACCGACACAGGUGGUCAGGUAGAGAAUACCAAGGCGCUUGAGAGAACUCGGGUGAAGGAACUAGGCAAAAUGGUGCCGUAACUUCGGGAGAAGGCACGCUGAUAUGUAGGUGAAGCGACUUGCUCGUGGAGCUGAAAUCAGUCGAAGAUACCAGCUGGCUGCAACUGUUUAUUAAAAACACAGCACUGUGCAAACACGAAAGUGGACGUAUACGGUGUGACGCCUGCCCGGUGCCGGAAGGUUAAUUGAUGGGGUUAGCGGUAACGCGAAGCUCUUGAUCGAAGCCCCGGUAAACGGCGGCCGUAACUAUAACGGUCCUAAGGUAGCGAAAUUCCUUGUCGGGUAAGUUCCGACCUGCACGAAUGGCGUAAUGAUGGCCAGGCUGUCUCCACCCGAGACUCAGUGAAAUUGAACUCGCUGUGAAGAUGCAGUGUACCCGCGGCAAGACGGAAAGACCCCGUGAACCUUUACUAUAGCUUGACACUGAACAUUGAGCCUUGAUGUGUAGGAUAGGUGGGAGGCUUUGAAGUGUGGACGCCAGUCUGCAUGGAGCCGACCUUGAAAUACCACCCUUUAAUGUUUGAUGUUCUAACGUUGGCCC